rnacentral:rRNA from 1 species
AACGAACGCUGGCGGCGUGCCUAACACAUGCAAGUCGGGCGGGAAAGCCCGCUUCGGUGGGUGAGUAAAGUGGCGCACGGGUGAGUAACGCGUGAGUAACCUACCCUCAUGUUCAGGAAAACGUUGGGAAACUGGCGCUAAUACUGAAUGAAGUCAGAGGCCGCAGGGGCUCUGACCAAAGGAGGCCUCUACUUGUAAGCUUCUGCAGGAGGAAGGGCUCGCGUCCCAUUAGCUAGUUGGUAAGGUAACGGCCUACCAAGGCGACGAUGGGUAGCCGGCCUGAGAGGGUGUCCGGCCACACUGGAACUGAAACACGGUCCAGACUCCUACGGGAGGCAGCAGUGAGGAAUUUUGCGCAAUGGGCGAAAGCCUGACGCAGCGACGCCGCGUGAGUGAUGAAGGUCUUCGGAUUGUAAAGCUCUGUCUUUUGAGACGAUAAUGACGGUACCAAAGGAGGAAGCCACGGCUAACUACGUGCCAGCCGCCGCCGUAAUAC